UUAAGCAAUAGGAAGAACACCGUACUGCAGCGUGACGACUGGACUCGUGCCGACGCAACAACAACAGCCUCGUCUCAACGAAUCCGAAUCGUAUCACGUGAUUAACUUAUUGAGAUCAACCUAGGGUUUCCAUGAAUCACUGACCAGUGUGUUGCCCACAAUGAAAUCUUCAGCCAGGCGAACGAACAAGAAUGCAACCAUUCAUCAAUGAAGUUUUUAUUACAAGGUAGGUCAAAAGUCCACAGUUAUUGAAUGCUACUAAUGUGAAACCCUGUAAAUUGAAUUAAAUCUGGUGCUCGCUCCUCCUUCGUUCUCUCUCUUUCUCUCAAAUCCCCUAAUGGAGUUCUGGUUCAGUGGAGUUCAAGAGACGUCAGCUGUAGCGCAUCCGGUGCUGGAUUUGUUUCUACGGCUAACAACGAACAGUAGCGGAGUGGGGUUCCGGUUAGUCGUACAGUCGGAACACCACUAACCCUAAUUUCAAUCGGUUCUUGGCGAUGACCGUGGUUGUGGUGAUCUCUGCAUCCCAUCACAGGGAGGUAAUUCGUGUAGAAUUCUGAAUUGUAUUCUAGCAGUCAAAUCCUACAAUGAGUGGAAACAAACAGGUUGAAGUUGAGCAGGAUCCAAUAGGUUUUGAUAUAAAUGCUUCUAAGCCGUUUUAGCCUAUUUGGUCAAGGAAGUAGGGGAGAUUUGAAAAAGGGAUUGGGAAAGGUGGAGGCUAUUGUAUUAUGGAUUCAAUAAAGGAUGGGAGUUAUUGAUUAAGGGGCAUUUUGGGGAUUAUGGGAAGUGGUUAUUUAUUGAACCAGGAAUAAUAGACAGUUAAUGAUGUUCUGUUAGAGGGUAAGGGUUACUUUGUUUUAGAUGAUUGGAAGGGUGUUUGGUUGUGUUAUUUUGGGGAUAUAUGCUUCUGCGGGUUGGAAAUCAGUAGGUGGAAUUAUUGUCUUAUAUGGUUGGUUUGGCUACAAAUGUUGGGUGUGUUUGCUGUGUUUUUGAGGGUGGUGUGAUUGUUAAAGGCUGCAAGUUACUUGUGGAAUUUGUUGGGAGAUCAGGCAGAUGCUAAGGGUCAUUGCAAUAUGGAACUGGAGCAAAUUGGCAGAUGAGAUUGUAGAUUACAUGUUGGAUGGGCUGGGAGUCUAAUGUGCCGGGGCUGCUGAAUAUGUAUGCAAAUUUGCUGGCUGUUGGUUUGUUUUUUUUUUCCUAUUUUGUUUGCUUGUCUUUGAAUUUGAGGGUGGUCGUUUGGCAAACGGGUCGGGUCAGGUCAGGUUCGGGUCAAAACAGGUCAAUUAAAAAAAGUAUUGUUUUGGUUUGGGUCAAAAUGAGUUCGGGCCAGAACGGGUUUCGGGUCGGAUAGGGUCGGGUCGUGUCGGGUUGGUAAAAAUAAUUUUUUUAAAGUGAUUGUACAUCAAGGGGCAAUUUUGUCGGGUGAAUAAUGUACCUACUUUGUACAAAAAAUAUAAACAAGAAUGAAUAUCAACAACUCUGAUCUCAUUGAUAACUAAUGAAUUAUUCUAUCGAUUAAAAAAUACAAACAAGCAUGAAUAUCAACAGCUCUGAUCUCAUUGAUGCAAAGCUUGAAGAACAUCAGUUAUGUGGAUCCAAACACUGUCCUGGAUGCGGUCAUCGACUUGAAGGAAAACCGGAUUGGAUGGGUCUACCAGCAGGAGUGAAAUUUGAUCCGACGGACCAACAAAUGAUCAAACAUCUUGAAGCCAAAGUUGAAGCCAAGAAGUUUAAAUCGCACCCGUUGAUUGAGGAAUUCAUCCCUACGAUUGAAGGCGAAGACGGGAUUUGGUUCGCGUCGAAACGGUUCGCAUCGAAACGAUUCAAUUCGAAACGAUACUGAUCGAAACAGUACGGGUCAAAACAGUAUUGGUCGAAACACCUUAAUAGUGAUUGCCACUCCCUCCACCCUAAUGACAUGAUACUAUUGGCUAGAGCAUAGUUUUUGUAAUUAAUGCAGGCAUAUCAUUUAUUUAUGGUAUCCAAAAAAAUUAAUAAAAUAUGUGCUCUUAAAUUUGUUCUACCCCCUCAGUUAGAAAUAAUAUGCUUCCCAUAUUGACCCGCUAUUUGACUUGAUUGCUAAUGCAUCAACAGUUAUUAUUUUCACAAGGUAAAAUAGGCGAAUGGAAAUGGAAGCGAACCCAUACUAAAUAUGCAUAAUCUGAACGGGGUUGAUAUUGACCAUGCUUCAAGACCAGCAGAAUUCGGUCAAAGUUCUCAAAUCACCAUGGCUCCACAGAGUCCAUAUGUGGAAAGCUCCAAAAUUUUGCUGGUGUAGGAAAUUUUCCUUUUCUAAUGCCAAUAACCUGGGGCCCAAAGAAACCAGUGAAGUUGCAGGGUUGAGGUGAAAUGGUAUAACUAUAAAUAGUGAUCUCAUUCUAUUUUGAGUGAAUUUUUAAGUUUUGAUUGAAUUCAUGAAAUUUGAGCUUUCUUAAUGACAUGGUUUUGUACUAUUUUGAUACAUUUACAGAUAUU